UUCAGUGAUGUGUGUUCUAGUGUAUCAUGGCCAAUAUUGGAAAAUGCCGUGACUUUUGUGAAUAUAGCUGGGUUUGUAUAGCAGAUUUCUACAGCUUUUGAUGCUUUCCUCAUAUCCAUGGUGCAUUCAACUCAACUUAUUGAUGGCUGCUCGUUGAUAAAGCUGGAGACACUAUGCCUGAAGGUUCCUCCCCAACCCCCCACCAUCAUGCCCACACAAAGGGCAGUUCAGAAGUGCUGGAAAUUGUCCUUGGAAACAGCCCUCAACCAAUGUCAGAAAGAGCUGGUGGAUAAAUAUCCCAACUUUCUCACUCAUUUUUUGAGAUAAAUCAAAAAAUGGGGUAUACUUUACACUCUCCCUGAGUUCCCCAGUAGGAUAAAAUUCUGGUUGUCCACAGUAGAAAUGGCUUGAUUAAGUAUUCUCGACUGGCUUCCUUCCCAUUUUUUUCUCACUUACUUAUUCCUCCAUGUGUAUUCCAUGGGAUCACCUCUGUGAUAAACUACUUGCCACUGAAUAUUUGUCUCAGGGGCUGCUUAUGAGGGAGCCCAGACCAAGAAAGUGUUCC
rnacentral:lncRNA from 10 species